CCUUUGAUAAGCUAAUUCUAAGCUGUUGGGCUCAUAACCCAAAAAUGGUUUAACCUCUUUGGA
rnacentral:tRNA from 1 species